rnacentral:rRNA from 1 species
AUUGAACGCUGGCGGCAGGCCUAACACAUGCAAGUCGAACGAGUGGCGGACGGGUGAGUAAUGUCUGGGAAACUGCCCGAUGGAGGGGGGUAACUCCUGGAAACGGUAGCUACUACCGCAUACCAUCGGAUGUGCCCAGAUGGGAUUAGCUAGUAGGUGGGGUAACGGCUCACCUAGGCGACGAUCCCUAGCUGGUCUACGCGGAGGACCAGCCACACUGGAACUGAGGCACGGUCCAGACUCCGACGGGAGGCAGCAGGGGGGAAUAUUGCACAAUGGGCGCAAGCCUGAUGCAGCCAUGCCGCGGGUAUGAAGAAGGCCUUCGGGUUGUAAAGUACUUUCAGCGAGGAGGCGUUACUCGCAGAAGAAGCACCGGCUAACUCCGUGCCAGCAGCCGCGGUAAUUC